GUGGGCGCUAGGUGUGGGUUUCCUUCCACGGGAUCCGUGCCGUAGCCAACGCAUUAAGCGCCCCGCCUGGGGAGUACGGCCGCAAGGCUAAAACUCAAAGGAAUUGACGGGGGCCCGCACAAGCGGCGGAGCAUGUGGAUUAAUUCGAUGCAACGCGAAGAACCUUACCUGGGUUUGACAUGUACCGGACGACUGCAGAGAUGUGGUUUCCCUUGUGGCCGGUAGACAGGUGGUGCAUGGCUGUCGUCAG
rnacentral:rRNA from 1 species